CGGAGGAUCCGAAGCGUUAUCCGGAAUCAGUUGGGUUUAAAGGGUCCGUAGGCGGUUUUAUAAGUCAGUGGUGAAAUCUGGUCGCUCAACGAUCAAACGGCCAUUGAUACUGUAAGACUUGAAUUACUUGGAAGUAACUAGAAUAUGUAGUGUAGCGGUGAAAUGCUUAGAGAUUACAUGGAAUACCAAUUGCGAAGGCAGGUUACUACAAGUAUAUUGACGCUGAUGGACGAAAGCGUGGGGAGCGAACAGGAUUAGAUACCCUGGUAGUCCACGCCGUAAACGAUGGAUACUAGCUGUUUGGAGCAAUCUGAGUGGCUAAGCGAAAGUGAUAAGUAUCCCACCUGGGGAGUACGCUCGCAAGAGUG
rnacentral:rRNA from 1 species